rnacentral:rRNA from 1 species
CCUACGGGUGGCAGCAGUAGGGAAUCUUCGACAAUGGGCGAAAGCCUGAAGGAGCAACGCCGCGUGGGUGAAGAAGGUCCUCGGAUCGUAAAACCCCGUUGGUAGAGAAGCAAGUGCGUGAGAGUAACUGUUCACGUUUCGACGGUAUCUAACCAGAAAGCCACGGCUAACUACGUGCCCCCAGCUGCGGGAAAACGUAGGUGGCAAGCGUUAGCCGGAUUUAUUGGGCGUAAAUGGAACGCAGGCGGUCGUUUAAGUCUGAUGGGAAAGCCUUCGGCUUAACCCGAGUAGUGCAUUGGAAACUGGGAGACUGGAGUGCAGAAGAGGAGAGUGGAA